AUGCUAAGUGGAAAAGGAUGUGGAGUUGCGCAGACAACUAGGACGUUGGCUCAGAAGCAGCCAUCAUUCAAAGAGUGCGUAAUAGCUCACUAGUCGAGUGACGCCGCGCCGAAAAUUUACCGGGGCUAAGCAUGAUACCGAAACUGUGGAUGUGCAUUUAUGCACGUGGUAGGAGAGCGUUCUAGCGGCGGUGAAGCAUGAC
rnacentral:rRNA from 1 species